AGAGCGAACGCUGGCGGCAGGCUUAACACAUGCAAGUCGAGCGGAUGUAGCAAUACAUCAGCGGCAGACGGGUGAGUAACACGUGGGAACGUACCUUUUGGUUCGGAACAACACAGGGAAACUUGUGCUAAUACCGGAUAAGCCCUUACGGGGAAAGAUUUAUCGCCGAAAGAUCGGCCCGCGUCUGAUUAGCUAGUUGGUGAGGUAAUGGCUCACCAAGGCGACGAUCAGUAGCUGGUCUGAGAGGAUGAUCAGCCACAUUGGGACUGAGACACGGCCCAAACUCCUACGGGAGGCAGCAGUGGGGAAUAUUGGACAAUGGGCGCAAGCCUGAUCCAGCCAUGCCGCGUGGGUGAUGAAGGCCCUAGGGUUGUAAAGCCCUUUCGGCGGGGAAGAUAAUGACGGUACCCGCAGAAGAAGCCCCGGCUAACUUCGUGCCAGCAGCCGC
rnacentral:rRNA from 1 species